GAUGAACGCUAGCGGUGUGCUUAACGCAUGCAAGUCGAACGAGAAGCCCUUCGGGGUGGAAAGUGGCGAACGGGUGAGUAACAUGUUGGUGAUCUGCCCUUGAGAGGGGGACAACCAUUGGAAACGAUGGCUAAUACCCCAGAUGUCAACCUAUUUAGAAAGGGUUGACUAAAGUUCCGGCGCUCAAGGAGGAGCCAGCACCCCAUCAGCUAGUUGGUAAGGUAACGGCUUACCAAGGCGAAGACGGGUAGGGGACGUGAGAGCGUGAACCCCCACACUGGUACUGAUACACGGACCAGAUACCUACGGGUAGCAGCAGCGAGGAAUCUUGCGCAAUGGGCGAAAGCCUGACGCAGCAACACCGCGUGGAGGAUGAAGCAUCUAGGUGUGUAAACUCCUUUUAUGGGUGAAUAGAAAGGAAGGUAACCCAAGAAUAAGGUCCGGCUAACUACG
rnacentral:rRNA from 1 species